AACGAACGCUGGCGGCAUGCCUAACACAUGCAAGUCGAACGAGAUCUUCGGGUCUAGUGGCGCACGGGUGCGUAACGCGUGGGAAUCUGCCCUUUGGUUCGGAAUAACAGUUGGAAACGACUGUUAAUACCGGAUGAUGACGAAAGUCCAAAGAUUUAUCGCCAGAGGACGAGCCCGCGUAGGAUUAGCUAGUUGGUGUGGUAAAGGCGCACCAAGGCGACGAUCCUUAGCUGGUCUGAGAGGAUGAUCAGCCACACUGGGACUGAGACACGGCCCAGACUCCUACGGGAGGCAGCAGUGGGGAAUAUUGGACAAUGGGCGAAAGCCUGAUCCAGCAAUGCCGCGUGAGUGAUGAAGGCCUUAGGGUUGUAAAGCUCUUUUACCCGGGAUGAUAAUGACAGUACCGGGAGAAUAAGCUCCGGCUAACUCCGUGCCAGCCGCCGCGGUAAAAC
rnacentral:rRNA from 1 species